UACGGGGGGGGCAAGCGUUGUUCGGAAUUACUGGGCGUAAAGGGCUCGUAGGCGGCCAACUAAGUCGGACGUGAAAUCCCUCGGCUUAACCGGGGAACUGCGUCCGAUACUGGAUGGCUUGAGGUUGGGAGAGGGAUGCGGAAUUCCAGGUGUAGCGGUGAAAUGCGUAGAUAUCUGGAGAAACACCGGGGGCGAAGGCGGCAUCCUGGGCCAAUUCUGACGCUGAGUGAGCGAAAGCCAGGGGAGCAAACGGG
rnacentral:rRNA from 1 species